rnacentral:lncRNA from 1 species
CUUUUUACUUCCUGCUCUUCUGCACCUGGAGGCUGCUGUCAAGGUGAUGCAAGAGGCAGCUGUGAUUGCAGCUGCGUGGCACCAGCACCAUCCGUGCUGCCCUGCCUCAGUCCACAGGGUGUUUGUUGUUCAUGGGGGGAAUUCAGAGAGCUGGUGUGAAGGAAGAUCCUUCCAAAGGCAACUGGACUCCAACUGCUCCUGUGCCACCCUCUAGCCAGGCGCCUAAAGGUGGUGCUUUCAUCACCACCUCUUUCUGACAGAAAUCUGAAGAAAUACAAAGAUGAAUCAAUUUGACCAUCUCACGGAGGGUGGUGCAUCCCCUGCUCUGCUGCCCUGGGAUCAGGCAGAAGUGGAGGAGAGUGACCAGGCCAGACCACUGCAAGCUGUGUGUUCCUCCCUACUGGGUGCACUGAGAGCUGUUGCCAGGCCUCAGGACUCUCAUUUUCCAGUAACAGGCAUGACUCAGUCACUCUGCUUCACUUGGUGGCCUUUGUCUAUGACCAUCCUCUACUUGUCUCUCCCAGAAAAUUAUCCUUGAUUUUAAUUACCAGGUCCCAAGCAGAGGGAACUAGGGGAUUAGGACUGGGGCUGGGCUCAGGAUCUGGAGAUUCAUUCACAUUUGACUUGGGGCAAGUAUCUCCAACUCUCCCUUUUGUUUUCCCCUUGCCUGUUUCAACAGAGCCAUCCUCUUGCCUGUGUCAGUGCAAUCUCCACUGUGAUAAAAAUGACAAUACUUGUAAUGUCACAAAUACUGUACAAAAUGCUCACUCAGACCCCACAGCACCCAUUAAAUGCCACUAAUAGGACAUUUGGGUUAACUUCAGUUGUAAGGUUUGACUGAUAAGGGCAAUCCCCAGUGGCUCCUUCCAGAGAAAAUCAUCAACUCACAGCAUAGUUUGGGUUGGAUUUCAAAUCCCAUCCCACUCUGCCUCCUGCCAUGGGCAGGGACACCUACUACUGUCCCAGGCUGCUCCAAGCCCCAUCCAGCCUGGCCUUGGACACUUGCAGGGAUGGGGCAGCCACAGCUGCUCUGGGCAGCCUGUGCCAGGGCCUCACCAUGCUCAAGAUAAAAAAAUCAUCUUUGCAACAGGAGAAACCCCUUCCCUGCAGGUAUCUCUGCCAGAGGGGCCAGGGCAGGGGGACAGUGCAGCCCUGGCUCCCUGAGCAGCACAGGUGAGGCACAGGUGGGAUUCCUGUGUCCAUCCCAACUCCAUCUCACAGAUGACCAGUCCCUGCCCCAUUCCCCUCUGGCAGACCCCAACAGUUUAACCCAGUGAGAAUGUGGAAAGACAAGUUCAGGACAAGCCAAGCUUCCAUGUUCCUUAAUUCUGGUUUUACACAUCCCCCCUCUGCCCCUCAGACUGGACUUGAUCCCAGCUAUUGCAGCUGGAACCCAGGGUGGCAAUGCCAACCCUUCCAGCAGUCAUCCUCACAUGGAAUUCCUGUGAGGAAUGCCCAGGAGCUCAUGGUGCCUCUGAACACAAAUCAAUACCCACAGAACUGAAGGAUUAGGAAGAGGAGUACUUCUCAAUGUCACC